GUACCGUAAGAGCUUAAUGGGGUUAAUUACUUGUUAUGUACCGGUUGGUUUAACAAGAAUUCUUUCUUUGGCUUGCGCGAUAAUGAAAGGCUUCCAAAUAAUGACUAAAAGUUACCUAUGUUUUCUUACUGACGCAACUGAAACCAGCCUUUAACCUUGAAAAGUAUCACUGUAAGCUACUGCGACAAUUUUACUGACCCAGAAGCUAAACUUGUCUCGUUAAGUAUGCGACCACGAAAGUAUGUACCACACUCCUUCCUUAGAAUGACCAAGUAUGUGUGCGGCAACAAUGAGACAAAGUCUCAACAAAAAGGUUUAUAAAGCAAUUACAAAAAUUGCUAAGAGAUCUCAACAACAAAAAAUUAAUAAUCGAGCGAGCCUUUAUAAAGUGCAAGAACUUACUCAAAAUUGACGAAGUAAGGUCUCCGUUAUUAUUUCGCCAACAGGCAGGGUCCUUCCAAACCGCUUAUAAGAUAUUAUAAACUAAAUCCAAGUACUAAUUUUAAAUAAACCAGGUUUGGAUUAAAUUUGAAGGUUCUUCGUUGUCGUCUCGUAAGUCACCACCAUGGCGGCAAAUACCGCCGGACCAUGAUAUGAUGCCCAAUUCACUAACAUUGCGCACCUACAUUACUUAAGUCAACACACUUAGACUACAAAAAAUAUAGAAAAUAGAAAAUUUCUUACACGUUUA